GACGAACGCUGGCGGCGUGCUUAACACAUGCAAGUCGAACGGAAAGACCCUGCUUUUGUGGGUUGCUCGAGUGGCGAACGGGUGAGUAACACGUGAGUAACCUGCCCUUGACUGUGGGAUAACUUCAGGAAACUGGGGCGAAUACCGGAUAGGAGCUCCUGCUGCAUGUGGUUGGUUGGAAAGUGUCGGCGGUUGGGUAUGGACUCGCGGCUUAUCAGCUUGUUGGUGGGGUAGUGGCUUACCAAGGCUUUGACGGGUAGCCGGCCUGAGAGGGUGACCGGCCACAUUGGGACUGAGAUACGGCCCAGACUCCUACGGGAGGCAGCAGUGGGGAAUAUUGCACAAUGGGCGGAAGCCUGAUGCAGAAACGCCGCGUGCGGGAUGACGGCCUUCGGGUUAUAAACCGCUUUCGCCUGUGACGAAGCGUGAGUGACGGUAAUGGGUAAAGAAGCACCGGCUAACUACGUG
rnacentral:rRNA from 1 species